AUGGCGCCUCCACUCCGUCCCGACGGUGGCGCCGCCCGUGGCCGCGCCCGGCCUCCUCCUCCUCUGCUGUCCGCGGUUCUCGUUCCCCUGCCGGCUCCCGCGCCUCACCCCACUGUGGCCGGGUCGCCCCGUGCGCUGCUCCGCCGCACCCGCAUCCGCCCGCCCGGUCCGGCUCCCCGUCGCCUCGCCGCCUCCGGCCACGCCGCCACACUCGUGCCGCCACGGGUCACUGCUCUCCCUGGCCGCUCCAGCUGGCGACCACGCGCCCCGCCGGCUUCUCCCGCCCAGCAUGCCGGCUUGCCACCGCGUUACCCGUCCGGGUCCGGGUCCGCGUCCGGUCCGCCCAGCUGCCUCCACACGCGCCCGGCGGCUCGCGUCCCAUGGGCUCCCGGCGUCGUAGGGUCCGGCCCCAUCCCCUGGACGGCUCCCCUGCUCCCUCUCCUACGCGGCUCGGCAAGCCCCCGCUCCCUCCGCGUGCCGGCCGCCGACUCACCCGGAUCCCUAGCACCGCCCCGCCCCUGGCCGGGUCUGGCGCCGCCCCGCCCCUGGCUGGCUCCAGGUCGCCGCCCGCGCCGCGCUUUGUGGCUGCUGCAGCCUACUACAGAUGGAAAGAGAAACAAAAACAAAAGAACCCGGCUGCCCAAGCCGGCAAAAAAGAAGAAGAAGAAAAGACGUUUAGCUGGCCCGUCCACCUGCUUCGCCACUCAGAUGGCCAGCCAGGAUCUGCCAUGUCCGUGUCGCCACACUGCCCGCUGUGCCAAGCUGGCUGGACCGCUUCCUGCUCCGACGCCUAGUCGGCAGGCGAGCCGGCCCGGUCGCCCGUCCGCCUCGACGCCCGUUCGGUUGGACGCGACCAGCCGGGACCCGCUUCGAGCACCCGGAGGCUCAAAGGCUACCCCCAACGGGUGUGCCGACGCGCUCCAUAAGCGCUAA
rnacentral:rRNA from 1 species